GGUCCGCGGCCCACCCGCAGCAUCCGCACCCGCCCGCAGCAGGUGGAUCGAUUCCACCUGCCUCCCCCUCCCUCUUCUCUCCUCUCGCUGCCGCUACAGGAUGCCGCCGGGGUCGCUCUCAUCCCUCCAGCAGCGUCGGCACCGCGGGACGCAGCGGGCUCGACUUGCAUCGGCGGCGCCGGUGUCCCUCUCCUCCGUCGAGCGGCGGCGGCGUGGGACGUAGCAGGUUAAAUCUGCGUUUGGCGGCAGCGGCGGCGGCGACAGGUUCCGCUCCUUGUCGCGCCGCCCCUCUCCUUUUCCUUGCUUUCUUGCCCCUGCGGAGAUCGAGGGAGACGCCCUCGGCUUAUGGCCUCCUCUCUAGGGCCAGGUGGUGGCUAGAGGAAAGGGGAGGCGGAAGAAAUCCGCCCCAAGGCUCUCGCCGUCUCGCUCUACCUUAUGGUGUUGUAUGGUCUGUCGGACAAGGGAACCCGGUUGCUGACUGAUAUCAAACGCCUUCUCCCUAAGAUCAUGCUCCCAGGCUAAAUCAACACCACCUGUUGGGAUCUGACUCUGGUGGGAUGGAACAUGGAAAGCUAUUGGCCGCUUGCAGUCUCACAAUCUGUCAGACGCACAAGUGGAGUUUUGUUUGGCAAUGCUUUUCUAUUGAGCAUAUUAAGAGAUUGCCAUUUGUCUGUCCUUUUUAUUAAGAAAUGACGAAUCAUUUAGCACGAAUUUGUAACUGGUUCAAGUACAUGACUGUCAAAAUACGGUGUGUUCGACAACACAUCUUCUAUCAAGUUGCUGGGAAUGUUGCCUGUGCCCCGUGGCACUGUCAACAA